GUUUCUCCCAAAGGGCAGCUCCCUUAAUAAAUCACCUGCAUAAGAAUCUCCAACUCAGGCUUUGUUAUCCCAUUUUAGAGAUGGGGAAAUCAGGCCCAGAUAAUUGAAGCAGCUUGUCCCCAGUCACCAAGCUAGAACUCAAGGGACCUGAAUUUGGUUUCAGGGACAUCUGACUCUAAACCUUUGACGUGAAUGCUAAGUGUUCCUAAUUCAUAGAACAGCCAUGAGAAUUAAAUGACACUUAUGCAUAAAAAAGACUUAUAGUGAUAAAGAAAUAAAUAUAAGGGAGUCAAAUUGUUAUUCCCAAUAGAUGAGAAAUUCAAGAUAAUGGCAGACUGUUUAGGCUGUUUACCCAAACCCAUUUCUCUUUUUCCCAUGCACAUAGCUGAAUAACUACAUUUCCCAGCUUCCAUUGCCCUCUGUGUGGCCAUGUGACUAGUUCUGGCCAAUGGAAUGUGAGAGAAAGUGAUAUUGGACACUUGCGGGAAAGGACAUUGCGGGAAGCAGGAGUAUAUCCUCCAUGUUCAUCUUCCUGCUGGCUGUAGGAAGGUAACCUUGAGGCACUAAUACCACAGUUCCCAAACUACAUGUCAACAUACCCUGUCGAGGCAUCACCACAAACUCACCCUGGUGCCAUAGGAUAUUUUAGGUUUUGGGGGGAUACACAGCAACAUCUAUCAGGCCCCAUGCAACCUGCUAGCUCAAGGUAAUUCAGGGCUUCACAUUAAUCACUAUGUUCUUUUCAAUGAUGUCAUAUCUUUGCAAAGCUGAGUAUUUGGCAGUUGUUAAGAUAAAAACCAAGUAGAGUAGAUUCUCAUUAUCUACAGAGUCUGUAUUUGUGAAUUCACCUACUCACCAAAAUUUAUUCAUAACCCCCAAAUCAAUACUCUCGUGUUUUCAAAGUCAUCUAUGAACAUGUGCAGAGCAGUCUGAAAAAGUCUGAACCACACAAUGUGCCCAUUGUCAGCCAAGGUCAAACAAGGUGUCCCUCUGCCUCCUUGUUUCAGCUCUCAAACUGUAAACAAGUGUCCUUUUCAUGGACUAUUUAGUGCCAGGUUUUUUCCAUUUUUGUUAUUCCUGUUGGUGAUUUCACUGUUUAAAGCAGCCCCCACGUGUAGUGCCGCAGGGCUGUCUAGUCUAGUGUUCCUAAGCAUGAGAAGGCUGUGAUGUGCCUUAUAAAGAAAAUACAGGUUAGGUAAGCUUCCUCCAGGCAUGAGUUAUAGUGCUACUGACUGUGAGUUCAGUGUUAAUGAACCAAUAAUGUAUACCAAAUAAGGUGUCUUUAAACAGAAACACACAUGAAAUACAUCAAAAUACAGGUUAUGUAUUGACUGGUUGACAAAAAUGUAGGGACUAAGGGCUCACAGGAACCCAACCCUGUAUUUCCUCUAAGAGCAAUGGUUAGGGAUUUGCUAACUCAGUGUUUGUGGUGACCGUAGAAAAUAUAUCUACCAUGAAUAAUGAGGAUCAACUGUACUUUAUGAAGAUCAAUGUAGGCACUGAGUUGUUACAGACAUAAAUACUCAUUAAGUUGUUUGAAUCUAACUACUUAAAAAUAAGUUAUUUUAAGCCUUGGCAAUACAGUGAGACCUCAUCUCUACAAAAAAAAAAAA
ensembl:lncRNA